rnacentral:rRNA from 1 species
GAUGAACGCUGGCGGUGUGCCUAAUACAUGCAAGUCGAGCGAACGGACGAGAAGCUUGCUUCUCUGAUGUUAGCGGCGGACGGGUGAGUAACACGUGGAUAACCUACCUAUAAGACUGGGAUAACUUCGGGAAACCGGAGCUAAUACCGGAUAAUAUUUUGAACCGCAUGGUUCAAAAGUAAAAGACGGUCUUGCUGUCACUUAUAGAUGGAUCCGCGCUGCAUUAGCUAGUUGGUAAGGUAACGGCUUACCAAGGCAACGAUGCAUAGCCGACCUGAGAGGGUGAUCGGCCACACUGGAACUGAGACACGGUCCAGACUCCUACGGGAGGCAGCAGUAGGGAAUCUUCCGCAAUGGGCGAAAGCCUGACGGAGCAACGCCGCGUGAGUGAUGAAGGUCUUCGGAUCGUAAAACUCUGUUAUUAGGGAAGAACAUAUGUGUAAGUAACUGUGCACAUCUUGACGGUACCUAAUCAGAAAGCCACGGCUAACUACGUG